rnacentral:rRNA from 1 species
AGGAUGAACGCUAGCGGCAGGCCUAAUACAUGCAAGUCGAACGGUAAGGUCUCUUCGGAGAUACACGAGUGGCGCACGGGUGCGUAACGCGUAUGCAACCUACCUUGAACUGGAAGAUAGCCCCGAGAAAUCGGGAUUAAUAUUCCAUAAUGUCCAUUUUUUGCAUAUGAGAUGGAUUAAAGUUACGGCGGUUCAAGAUGGGCAUGCGUGACAUUAGCUAGUUGGUGAGGUAACGGCUCACCAAGGCGACGAUGUCUAGGGGUCCUGAGAGGGUUUCCCCCCCACACUGGUACUGAGACACGGACCAGACUCCUACGGGAGGCAGCAGUAAGGAAUAUUGGUCAAUGGACGCAAGUCUGAACCAGCCAUGCCGCGUGCAGGAUGACUGCCCUACGGGUUGUAAACUGCUUUUACGUGAGAAAAAACUCCCCGAUUCGUUCGGGGACUGAUGGUAUCACAUGAAUAAGCAUCGGCUAACUCCGUGCCAGCAGCCGCGGUAAUACGGAGGAUGCAAGCGUUAUCCGGAUUCAUUGGGUUUAAAGGGUGUGCAGGCGGAAUGAUAAGUCAGAGGUGAAAUCCCCCGGCUCAACCGGGGACCUGCCUUUGAUACUGUUGUUCUUGAGUAUAGUUGAAGUGGGCGGAAUGUGUCAUGUAGCGGUGAAAUGCAUAGAUAUGACACAGAACACCGAUAGCGAAGGCAGCUCACUAACCUAUAACUGACGCUCAUGCACGAAAGCGUGGGGAGCAAACAGGAUUAGAUACGCUGGUAGUCCACGCUGUAAACUAUGAUCACUAGUUGUUAGCGAUUCCACCUGUUAGCGACUGAGGGAAACCAUUAAGUGAUCCACCUGGGGAGU